GAGCACACUGCUGCAGUGCGGAGCGUACGGUAUCCGAGCCCCAACUCAGCUUGAGAACUUGCAGAGCCCACACCUAACACAAUGGGAUUCUGGUCCAUGAUUGGUCUCUAUAGAAGCUUCAGUUUCACAAAUAAUCAACAACUGUAAUUUGUAGUGGAGAAUUCUCCCCACCCCCUUAGGACUCCACUAUAUAAGCAUGGAAAAAGAUGGCUCCACUGGAAGAUUAAAAUUGUUGAGGGUGAAAAAGAAACCAAGCAAGCACCAACAGAACAGAGUCCGUGAUCUCCUGCCUAACCAUCAGGCACAUGCUUCCUCAAGAAUGUGAAUUUCCACCUCCCAAGAUCAAGGAGAGAGUUUGGAAGCACCUCCUUUGUCUACUGCUGAGUCCCUUUCCUCAGUUACAGCUGGGAAGGGACAUGGUCCUUUAAACUGUUUCCUAUCUGUCUCUGGGGCAGGGGAGAAUUAAAUUAAUUUCUGAAA